UUUCGCGCUUUUGAAUAAACAGCGGGUGAACGGCGCUGAAAAUACAAGUGACCGGUGCGGCGGUGCUGGGAGCAAACAGCGGAAGGGAAUGACAACACGCAAGGUAUCCUGGGUAACUUGGCGCCCGAAGGAUAGAACUUCCGCUUCCGCCUUGCUCCGGCGGCGCAGGUUGUGUUCGACUCGCGGAUUUGGAGGCAUUGCUCUAUGCCAAAGUCGAGUGCUCGCUCGCGGAGUCCGUCGGCUGCUCCGACUCUGCCAUUGGAAUU
rnacentral:lncRNA from 1 species